CAGUCGCCACGGUAAUACGAAGGGUGCAAGCGUUAAUCGGAAUUACUGGGCGUAAAGCGUGCGUAGGCGGUGAGUUAAGUCUGCUGUGAAAUCCCCGGGCUCAACCUGGGAAUGGCAGUGGAUACUGGCUCGCUAGAGUGUGUCAGAGGAUGGUGGAAUUCCCGGUGUAGCAGUGAAAUGCGUAGAGAUCGGGAGGAACAUCAGUGGCGAAGGCGGCCAUCUGGGACAACACUGACGCUGAGGCACGAAAGCGUGGGGAGCAAACAGGAUUAGAUACCCGCGUAGUCCCUGUCUCUUAUAA
rnacentral:rRNA from 1 species